AGAGUUUGAUCAUGGCUCAGAUUGAACGCUGGCGGCAGGCCUAACACAUGCAAGUCGAGCGGUAGCACAGAGAGCUUGCUCUCGGGUGACGAGCGGCGGACGGGUGAGUAAUGUCUGGGAAACUGCCUGAUGGAGGGGGAUAACUACUGGAAACGGUAGCUAAUACCGCAUAACGUCGCAAGACCAAAGUGGGGGACCUUCGGGCCUCAUGCCAUCAGAUGUGCCCAGAUGGGAUUAGCUAGUAGGUGGGGUAACGGCUCACCUAGGCGACGAUCCCUAGCUGGUCUGAGAGGAUGACCAGCCACACUGGAACUGAGACACGGUCCAGACUCCUACGGGAGGCAGCAGUGGGGAAUAUUGCACAAUGGGCGCAAGCCUGAUGCAGCCAUGCCGCGUGUGUGAAGAAGGCCUUCGGGUUGUAAAGCACUUUCAGCGGGGAGGAAGGCGAUAAGGUUAAUAACCUUGUCGAUUGACGUUACCCGCAGAAGAAGCACCGGCUAACUCCGUGCCAGCAGCCGCGGUAAUACGGAGGGUGCAAGCGUUAAUCGGAAUUACUGGGCGUAAAGCGCACGCAGGCGGUCUGUCAAGUCGGAUGUGAAAUCCCCGGGCUCAACCUGGGAACUGCAUUCGAAACUGGCAGGCUAGAGUCUUGUAGAGGGGGGUAGAAUUCCAGGUGUAGCGGUGAAAUGCGUAGAGAUCUGGAGGAAUACCGGUGGCGAAGGCGGCCCCCUGGACAAAGACUGACGCUCAGGUGCGAAAGCGUGGGGAGCAAACAGGAUUAGAUACCCUGGUAGUCCACGCCGUAAACGAUGUCGAUUUGGAGGUUGUGCCCUUGAGGCGUGGCUUCCGGAGCUAACGCGUUAAAUCGACCGCCUGGGGAGUACGGCCGCAAGGUUAAAACUCAAAUGAAUUGACGGGGGCCCGCACAAGCGGUGGAGCAUGUGGUUUAAUUCGAUGCAACGCGAAGAACCUUACCUGGUCUUGACAUCCACAGAACUUUCCAGAGAUGGAUUGGUGCCUUCGGGAACUGUGAGACAGGUGCUGCAUGGCUGUCGUCAGCUCGUGUUGUGAAAUGUUGGGUUAAGUCCCGCAACGAGCGCAACCCUUAUCCUUUGUUGCCAGCGGUCCGGCCGGGAACUCAAAGGAGACUGCCAGUGAUAAACUGGAGGAAGGUGGGGAUGACGUCAAGUCAUCAUGGCCCUUACGACCAGGGCUACACACGUGCUACAAUGGCAUAUACAAAG
rnacentral:rRNA from 1 species